GGAUAUAGAAAGAAAGGUUUUGUUGGAUCUUGUUGUUGUUGUAUUAUUUAUCAGAUUCAAAACAUUCUAAUCAGUCUAUGUAUAAACACAUUUUUCUCAGACAACUCCAUUUUGAAAGUAUGUAUGUACAUUUAAAAUCUCAAAUAAUAUUUAAUAAUAAGAGAAAAAUAUUCGCUUCUCAAAUUUCAUCAUUUAACAGAAAAUACGAAGAAAAAAAAAAAAAUUAUACAUCAAAAACAUUCUUGAGAGAUAAAUUAUAGGGGAAUAAUUUACAUAGAUACUCAUCAGCAGAAAAUUCAAUGGCAGUUAAAGACAUGAUGAUAAGGAACGAAAAGGAUGAGAAAUAAUAACCGUAGUACGAUGCUACUACAGCAGCUAUCGACCCAUGCUGAGUCCUCCUUAUGAUAUGAUAUUAUGUGUGUAUGUAAAUUCGAUUCUUUUCACAUUAAUUAAUCAUCCUAAUUUCAGUAUGGAGUGAAAUUGAGUUGUGGCACGUAUAUAGUAUAUAUUGUGUUGAGCCAACCAUAGGGGGGAAGAGGAGUAGAUAAAGAUAAUAAUAUGAUUAUGUAGUCGUCCUUAAUUACCCUGACAUCUGGAAUUCGGCAUGAUGAUCUGACUACUGACUGUGACAUUUGAUUAAAUCAUCAAGGAGUCCUUGGUUCUUGUCUUUAAUUGCUUUGUUUUGUUUUUAUUAUAGCUAUUAAUUAGAAGUAAAUCAUGUAUAUACAUAGGUUAGUAGAUAUACAUGUGGGCAGAUGUUUUUAUGUUUUUUUUUAGAAUAACAAUAAUCUUCAUCAUUAUAUCUAGUACUACUUCUGGGCACCACUCAUGACGCUCAAUUCUCUUAUUAUUUAUGAUGAGAAAAUGACUCUCCCAAAAAUUACAAACAUCCAUACUAACUAACAAGAAUAAAAAAUCACCAAUUCGUCACAUAUAAUUAAAGGAAGAAGAAGAUUCUUUCCCCAAAUUAUUUCCGGUAUCAACUGCAGAUAAUAUACAAUUUAUAACAUUCAGACAAUCUUCUAACUAACUCACUAGACACACCCAGAAAGAGUCAUAUAUGCAAAUGGAUAAAGUUAUAUACUUGAUACGCUAGGUGGCGCAUCCUUUCUUUUUAUAUAUUUGUAGAGUUACAGCGCCAUCUAUAGCCUUUUUUCUUUUUUCUCCUCAUUAAACUAAUGAAUGAUGACUUUUUAUAUAUAUUAUUUUCCACUGCGAAAUGGAAAAUGCAUUCAUCUAUUAGUGAGGACACAACAGAACACAAGUUAUGACUAACCUACUCAAUGCUUUAUGAACACCUAUUUGUAAACUAAUACUCAUAAAUUGUUUUAUGGCUCCGUUAAUUAGAACCAUCCCAAUGUCUAAUCUAUUAUUCGAGUUCUGUCGAGUUUUUAAGAAUUUCCACAAACUUUGACUAAUCCCUACUCGAACGUUUUGAAUUUUGGAUUCAUAUUCGGGUUCGAGUAACGUUUGACUUUAUAUUCGGUUCCAAGACUACCAAAAAAAAAAUUGUUUGCGCAAUAGGUAAUGGAGUAAAUGAUUAACUAAGGGACUCAGAUUAUAAAUAGUGUUUUUUUUUUAAAUUGAAUCUAAUAAUAUACAUAUUUGUACUUCAAUAUUCCUCACGGUGUUACAUCACAAACAUAAGAAUAUAGACUGUAUUUUGGGGUCCGCUGUUGAUUUGCCUGCUUUUAUUCACCUUAGCAGUGUUGUUCUGAGCCUGGAUUGGUUAUAUUAGAAUUAUUUCUUGGGAAGGUACAGCGAACAAUUUCCAAAAGAAUUAUAUUGUAUAAUAAUUCUAUAUUCAGUUAUUAUUUUGGGCCUCUUUUUUUAAAAGAAAGGUUGCGAGAUAACCUAUAAAUAACGACGUAUCCUCUUGUGUUUGUUUUACAGAGUAAAAAAUGGACAGAAAAUAUUACAUAUAUAUAACUCAAUUUUCCUUCGUUUUUCAUUUAAAAGUAUGUUCCUACUAUUUUUGAGACAAAAAAGGCCUUGUUCCCUCAUGAAUUAAUGUCUGAGACAAUAAAAGGGAGUCAAGCAAAUGUUACUAAAGACACCACGGGUAGGUAGUGAGCCAGACACCACUAUCGCAUAGGUAUUAGACGCAAUACGUAGAUAGAUAGGUAAAGACCAGGUGUUGUUUGAAAGGAUUAAUAUUAAAUUUAUCAUAUUUAUUGAUCUUAUUAUUCGGUAAUAAUCAUUAUUAUAAUUUUAAUGAUAAGGGAAAAGCAUUUUUCUCUUUGUUUCUAUUUAUAUCUCUUCCUCCUUUUAAAAAUUCCGUUAAUAAAUAAAUAUAAUUAUUAAUGGGGGAUCUCCUUUCCUCUUUGAACGACAACUAGGCAGUUUAAUUACCUAUAUUAUCAUCUAUGUAUAUGUAUACGAAGAAAUUUGACAUCAUUUUGACAAAUUUUAAAGAUACAUACGCAUUAUAAUUGGACCUUCAAGGCAUUUUUUUGAGCCAGGGCUCUCUGCAUCUCUAACGAAUAUCCUCACAGAAAUAUAUAUACAAAACAGGAUAUAAUAAAUAAAUACAUACUAGGGGUUCGCCUAUCCUGGUAAAUUGUCUCUGGCCGGUAUCCCGGGAAAUAUCGGGAUACCGUACGUAAAUAAUAAAUGGAGUGAAAUUGAAUUAUUUCUUUUGAUAUUUUAAAAUGAAAGGCCCACAUAUAUUAGUUAUAUAUUAGUAAACUUUUUGUCAACUUUUUUUAAAAUUAACAUAUUGAUUGUUGGCAAAUUAGUUUGUUCUAACAAGAGGUUAUUUGUCAAAUUUGACUUUGCAAAACAAAACAAAAAAAAACACACUCACAUUCUGUCAAAAUUGUCAAAGAUUUAUCAAAAAGCGGUAGGUUUGAUUCUCUUUCAAAAAUCAAAAAUCUCCCUCUAACGCCCCUGAAUAAAAAAUCCGAUAUACAACUAUGAUAAUUCAAUGACGUUUAUAUUAUGAAAACAUUAAAUGCCGGAUUUGUAAAAACUCUGCAAAAUCCCGGGAUCCCGGGUCGACAAAUCAUAGUACAUACAUAACUAAGGUUUGUGUUUUCGAUCCUUUUUGACUGAAUAUGAGGGUCGGGGAUGUGAUAAAUUCAAAUGAACAGCACAUACAUAUAACAGCAUCAUCAUAUACAUAUAUAGUGAGAUUUAAUGACAGGAGGGGUAAAAAUAAUGUAACCUUAGUUAGUUAGUUUUUUUUUUUUUUUAAUAAUAAUAAUCAAAUGUAUGUGUUUUUUUGUAUUAGUUUUUAUAAAAAAAAAAAGGGACAUUGUUUAAAAAUGAAAAAAUAAUAAUGAUGAUAUGUUAAAGAAUAGAGAAAGAAAACCAUCUGCUUGGUUUCUCUCUCUUCCCACUUAAAAAAAUAUUCUAUGUAGACGUGAACAACACUGGGCUAUUCGUUAAUUUUCAUAUUCAAAUUUAAUAAUAAUGGCUUCGUUUGGGUUUUUUAUUUUUUUUUUGGUUUUUUUUGUAUGCUUCAAAUCUGUUAGACAUUGUUUCUAGACGGUAAUUCAACUGUAGCCUUGUAGAUCAAUACAUCAUUUUAUUUUAUUUAUAAAAAAAAAAAAACUAUUUACAAACAUGCACAAAUAAAAUAUUGCUUAUUCGCAGCCCGGGAAGUCCUGCAUUCUCCAGUAUGUAUGUAUAUCACUAAAACUAAUUACAAUUAAAAUAUGUACGUUGUACAUUUCUCUAGACGAGUCUGAAACUCAGGUUUGUGGCUUUAGGGCUAAGGGUUUACACCCCUCUAGUACAUUAUUAAUUUGUCCAAAAAGUAAAAGUAUUUAUGUAAAAUUUUGAUUUUUUUGGAUCACAAUUUGAAAUUAAUAAUAUUGUUGUCAAAAAAAAAUUUCUCCAAAUUUGUCUUCACUAAUAAAUAUUCUGUCAAAAUUGUCAAAGUUUUUUUAGCACUCCCCCGCCCCAAAGAAAAAUCCUACCCUGGAUAAAGGGUAACCAUUAGUGUUGAGACUCGGUCCAGCACCAUUUUUUUUUUUUUCGGUUCGGUCUUUAGUGAUUUUUUCUAGAACGAUUCGGACCAAUUUUUCGGUCCAGACUGUUGUCUCAGACCGUUCACCGAUUUUUUCGGUCACACAUUGUAGACCCAUUUUGAUUCGGUCUCACUUUAUGGACAAAUUUAUUUUCGGUCUUAAUUUAUGUACCAAUUUUUUCUGUCAUAUCUAAAUUAAAUUUUCUAGAUCAACAGUCAUUCAUUU
rnacentral:lncRNA from 1 species